rnacentral:snRNA from 1 species
CGAUGCGAGGGCAAUCUGGCUGCGACAUCUGUCACCCUAUUGAUCGCCAGGGUUGAUCUGGCCGAUCUGGCUGGCUAAGUGGGUGUCCUUUUCCUCCCUCACCACUCAUGCGCCUCCCUCCCCAAGCUGUCUAUGUGCUCAGUCAGGGAGGAUGACCUUCCUGGAUACAAGAGGACCAUUCUUUGGUCAAGUGUAUAGGAGUAGCUGCGCUCCCCUGCUAGAACCUCCCAAACAAUCUCUCCCUGGAUGGUGCCAUUUCCCUUUCCCACCCCUCACCAUUUGUAGGAGAAUGUAGGGUAAUUCUACAUUCCAGGACUCUAGGCACAUCCAAAUGAGGCGCUGCAUGUGGCAGUCUACAUUUCUUU